CCUGGUGGCUCAGAUGGUAAAGAAUCUGCCUGCAAUGCAGGAGACUCAGGUUCGAUCCCUGGGUCAGGA
rnacentral:tRNA from 1 species